rnacentral:rRNA from 1 species
GGACUACACGGGUAUCUAAUCCCGUUCGCUCCCCUCGCUUUCGCACCUGAGCGUCAGGUACCAGCCAGGACACUGCCUUCGCCUUUGGUGUUCUUCCGGAUCUCUACGCAUUUCACCACUCCACCCGGAGUUCCAUGUCCCUCUCUGGCCCUCAAGUCCGACCGUCUUUGAGACCCUCUCUGGGUUGAGCCCAGAGCUGUCACCCCAAACGCGUCGGACCGCCUGCGUGCGCUUUACGCCCAGUAACUCCGGACAACGCUCGCCCCCUACGUAUUACCGCGGCUGCUGGCAC